GGGAGUAUCACCGAACUGUCUCUUCAUCGUGGCCCACGUGAUGGGGCUGGAAAGCUGAGUGGAGUGCUGGACCAUCGCUGGGAACUGGAGCUUGAUCAAGGUGAAGUUAGUGGUGCUGGGAAAAGGCAGCGGGGAGAAGGCUGGGACAGCAGAACCUGCCAGGCUGGUGGAAGCUCCCAGCCCCCAAACAUUGGAUGCUGUGGGAUCCUUUGGAGGACCCUGAAGAUGCACCUGUUUUCCCAGGCCUUCAACAGAGAUUGUAUUUUAAAUUUUUAAUGUGUUUUUAACAUGUUUUUAUCUAUAAUUUUUAUCUUUUUAUGAAUUUUAAUUGUG